UACGUAGGUCCCGAGCGUUGUCCGGAUUUACUGGGUGUAAAGGGCGUGUAGCCGGGCUUACAAGUCAGAUGUGAAAUCCGGGGGCUCAACCCCCGAACUGCAUUUGAAACUGUAGGUCUUGAGUAUCGGAGAGGCAGGCGGAAUUCCUAGUGUAGCGGUGAAAUGCGUAGAUAUUAGGAGGAACACCAGUGGCGAAGGCGGCCUGCUGGACGACAACUGACGGUGAGGCGCGAAAGCGUGGGGAGCAAACAGG
rnacentral:rRNA from 1 species